AUUCAAUCGGAAAGUGUAUAUACACCAGUACACCAGACACGAAGCAUCCGCACAAAUUUCACGCACAAGCGUAUUUUCAAACCACAACAGCACAACAGGCAACGCAAGUCAUCGCGCCACUAGGUGUCAGUGGCUUUGGUUGCAUCUGUGCGUAAAGAAGUGAGAGUUUGGGUUUUCUCCCUGGGCUUUGAAUUGUUCGCGAAGUUUGUACGGUGUCAGUUACGCAGGUGUCUCUUGCAAGAUACCAAUCACGACCGUAACAUCUGCUGACGAAGUGCGUUGUGUGUGCCUGAAGGAAGAAGUUUUAGUAAACAAGUAUAUUUAAAGUCAGUUCAGCAUCUGGGCCUAAAUAUCUUAAACGUCUUAAAAUGCUACCAAACAGAACUAUUGGUUCGGUUUCCACGUGCAAAUAUUUCUUGAUCAUGUUUGCCGUAAGUUGUUUCCUGCAAGUGUCCUUGCUGAUAGGCUCUAGCGAAGCUACUUCCAUGUAUUAUAAGAAAGUACAGGGAGAAAAGUAUGAACCAGACUGGGUGCCCGUAUCUUCCACCGUGAUACCGUUGGUUGAACGCGUCGUCAGCGUGGGUGCGGGAGCGCGUAAGAAAUCAUCGUUCGGCAGUGAUGGUCACGACGGUACGGACGGUGUACUAGGGGCGGACGAAAGCUACAAGCGUGCUUACGUGAAACACAUCAGCAAGUUCACGAAAAUUGGUACGGCAGGAGCGGAGGUACAACCAGGAACACUUAUUACCGGUAAAACUGCGUCAUCAAGUGCGAAAGAUUAGAGAGUCGUUGAGGACCCAAUGCCGUGAGAUUUCACUAAACGUCCAAUUCGCUAACGUAGCUAACAUGUUGAAAAUGUUUUGUUGUUAACUUAUCUUAAGUUUAAACUGUGCGGCUACCUUACUGAAGCAAAAGAUGACAGACAUCUGUAAUUAAAUGAUCACACAAUCUAGCACAUAAAUAUUUGCCUGUUAGUGUUAUUGCCAGUAGCUACAACCAUAUUGAGGUGGCGUUAUCAACCAUCUCAUGCAAUAAAAAAAAUAGGUCUGUAGACUAUAAUGCAUUAAACGAGAGGGAACAAACAUGCGCUCGAAAUCAGUGUAUAUCUUUCAGAAAAUUUCGUACUAUGGUGAUGAUGAUUUCAUCUUCACGUUCUUGAUCCCCUCUCCCCGAAGGAAAAAUAAAUAAAAUCUGUCUGACAACAACUACAAAAAAAACGUCCGCACUCUCCCAAACUGUUGCUACUGGCUUGUUUAUUUGUACGAGGGACGAGUAAUAAAGUGAUUUUCCGUUGGCGUAAGAAAGAGGACGGAACUCCAGCAUCACUUUCAUCCAUCGUGUGCUCCGUGCAAUACUUCAUGUACUGUUUAUUUCCCGCCGACACAGCAGUCACGUGUCUGUUUGUGAUUGAACGUGCGUCUGCACUUAUGUUGCGACCGUAUCAUAGCGCGAGGGAUUCAUCUAACCUAACCCCAUGUCGUUAUGGCAACGUAUCAGAUUGAUACCAACUUAACCCUACGGCCAGAGGCCAAAAUCUUCCCUUUUUGUUAUCGGAAAGUUGUAUGAACAUCCUAAUUAUUGUGAUUCAUUUGUACAUCGUUUUAGUUUGUUUACCCGUAUCGUCUUAUUGAUGAUAUAUUUUAAUUUAUUAUCGUUUCUAGGGUAGGUGUAGUUGCACU